CACGUUUUGAAGUGUUGAUCUGAACACUUUUUCAGCAUCACAUAUCUCUUCUCUUUUUGCUUCAAAAAAUAUCAUCACAAACCAUCUUCACACCCUCCUUGCAUCAAACAAAUAUCAUCAAGCACACUUCACUCAAUCAUCAUCAAAAAUAGAACAUAAAGCUCCCUGCAACUGAAACACAACAUCUUCAUCUAUCAUCUUCAACCAUCACAUCACGAAAACCACACAUAACGACUCAGAAACACAACAACAACAACAUUUAACAACGGCAACGGAACUGCAUGCAUUGUCAACAACUGAAGCUUCCCUCCGAUCAUCCACGUCCAAACACCACAGAGCACGCGCAAAAUACGACAGAGGAUGGUGUUUCUAGGAUUAUGUGACCCCUUACUUGCACAUGCUCGCUUGACAAGCCUAUUAGUUAUUCCUAUAAUACUUUUUGUUAUCGGGAUCGAGCUAGAGCUUCUAGAAGGUGCUAUGGAAUAGAAUGUCAUCUGAGCUUUAUGGAUCUAUCAAGACUCGCUUGAUGUCUCAAUUACGGUAUUGCAUAGUGAUGACCAUGGAGUCGUUGUCAUGAAGGUAGACUCCAAUGGCGUCACUAUCAGAAAAAAUGAUUCUAGCCCUUGAUUUUAUUUGUAUGGUUUUGGAGAGGCAUGGGGAUAUCACGUUCACAACCAACACCUUUAUGGCGUAUUUCAUCUAGGAGGAACUGGAAAUUCCCCCACCGACAAAACCUCUAGCAAUGGUGUUAAUCGUGAAACUUAGAUUUCUCUUGGCCAUUUUCGAGAGAAAGCAAUGAAAAUGAUAGUGAUAAUGGAGGGUGAGACCCAUGUCAGUUUUACUGGAGGGUCCAUGGUGGGGGUCACACUACUUACUAAAAAAAAGUAUAGAUGCGUGGCACCCUUGUGCUAGUAUGGGUGGCCAGAGGCUUUAGGGUUUACAUUGAUUUAGAGAAAGCUCACGGUGGUGAGAAGCCAUGUUUUUAGGUGUUUUCUGUAAAGUGAGUGCAAGCUCACGACGAGGUGGACCUACAUGGUUAACACUCUGACGCUCAAAUUAGUUCAAAAUUUAAGAUAAGUAUAUAUCUUGGAUUAUAUUGUCAUAAAUUUGGACCUUAGUUAUUUGA